rnacentral:tmRNA from 1 species
GGGGGCGACCUGGCUUCGACGCAGGUAGCAAAACCGAAGGUGCAUGCCGAGGAGCAGAUUCCCUCGUAAAUCCAGCUGCACUCAAAGAUAGUUGCCAACGACGACAACUACGCUCUGGCUGCUUAACCAGCCAGCCUCUGGCCCGGGCCUGUGCUUGUGCACCCGGAUCCAGGGGUCGACUCUCACAAGCUCGCUCUGAAGCCCGUCCGGGGUGGAUGAGUUAAAACCUUUACCGGACUCGCCGUUUGCCUUCCCUGCCGGUCGGGUAGCAAACGGUCAAAUCCAAAGACCAGGCUAAGCAUGUAGAGCCAACGGCGGAGUGCCUGCGGACGCGGGUUCGAUUCCCGCCGCCUCCACCA